CGUAGGGGGCAAGCGUUGUCCGGAUUUAUUGGGCGUAAAGAGCGUGUAGGCGGCUUGGCAAGUCCGCUGUGAAAACUCGAGGCUUAACCUCGAGACGUCGGUGGAAACUGCCUGGCUAGGGUCCGGAAGAGGAGUGUGGAAUUCCUGGUGUAGCGGUGAAAUGCGCAGAUAUCAGGAAGAACACCUAUGGCGAAGGCAGCACUCUGGGACGGUACUGACGCUGAGACGCGAAAGCGUGGGGAGCGAACAGGAUUAGAUACCCUGGUAGUCCACGCCGUAAACGAUGGAUGCUAGGUGUGGGCGGUGUCGACUCCGUCCGUGCCGAAGCUAACGCAUUAAGCAUCCCGCCUGGGGAGUACGGCCGCAAGGCUA
rnacentral:rRNA from 1 species